rnacentral:rRNA from 1 species
CCUACGGGGGGCUGCAGUGGGGAAUAUUGCACAAUGGAGGGAACUCUGAUGCAGCGACGCCGCGUGAGCGAUGAAGGCUUUCGAGUCGUAAAGCUCUGUCGAAUGGGAAGAUAAUGACGGUACCAUUUGAGAAAGCCCCGGCUAACUACGUGCCAGCAGCCGCGGUAAUACGUAGGGGGCGAGCGUUGUCCGGAAUUAUUGGGCGUAAAGGGUUCGUAGGCGGCAAUGUAUGUCAGGUGUGAAAGACGGUGGCUCAACCAACGCAAGCAUCUGAA